UACGAACUGUGCAAACGUUAUUCGGAAUCACUGGGCUUAAAGGGUGCGUAGGCGGCUCGUUAGGUAGGGUGUGAAAGCCCCCGGCUCAACCGGGGAAUUGCGCCCUAAACCGGCGGGCUGGAGUGAGAUAGGGGUGUGUGGAACUUCCGGUGGAGCGGUGAAAUGUGUUGAUAUUGGAAGGAACGCCGGUGGCGAAAGCGGCACACUGGGUCUUUACUGACGCUGAGACACGAAAGCCAGGGUAGCGAACGGG
rnacentral:rRNA from 1 species